AACAAUCAGCAAAAAUAAUAAACAAUGGAAAUGGUAAUCGUUAACGCGUUUUAACAUUCCAAAGCUUUUUUUCGCAAAAAAAAAGUGUUUGGCUUUGUGUUCAUAUCAAAAAAUUAAUGUACAGUUUAAACUAAUCUUAUGCACUCUAAUAGAUUAAAGUUAAUUAAUAUACACAAUCUUAUGGAGGGAUUUAAAGUACCGUCUCAUGGUGCAGUAACGAGUGAGAGUCCAACCAUGUUUAUCUAAUCGGAUUCCGCUCUCAUAGAUUAGAUGCAGACUCAACUGUAAUAGGUGGGAAAAUAGUGGAGCACUGCGAUAUACAAACAGUAAAAUGUAAAUAUCAUAUUAGUUUUGAGAGCGCAUCAUAAACGUAGCAGAGAUCAAGCUAAUUUAAUGCAAACACAAGCAAGGGUGGCGGUUAUGACUUCCACCUGGAAGAAUGAAAGCAUCACAAUACUAGAUACAAACCGUUGAAUUGGUGCUAUUCGCAAAAUUGGAGAUGCCAGACUUUCCCCUUCGCAUUAUAAAUAGAGUUAAGCUAAUAGCUUGACAAAUAAGGGUUCAACAAAUUAAACCGUCAUUCAAGUUCUAAGAAAUAUUAGGUACGAUCUAUAGGAACAACAGCUUAUCGCUAAAAUUAACCCUCAAUACGAUUCUUCUUACAUACAGAUGUCUAAAACAUAUUAAAAUGUCCAAGGCAUAGAGGAACAAGCCAAAAUUAUAAUAAUAUGUUAUUGUAAAGAGCUAUGUAUUGUUAAACACCUUGUAUUGAUUUUUAUAUCUGGCACUAUGACGAAAAGAGAAUAAUCAAAUUGUUUAAGAAGCCUAUCAAGGCUAUCAGCUCUAUUGAAAAUACUACGGCACUUGAGAUUUGAACGUACGACCAUUGAGUUGUUAGUCGAGACUCUUUGUCUGCGCACCCACCCAGGAGGAUUUGUAUACAUUUAGUAACUAUGUUUAGAUAAGCACUUUAUUCUUAAUAUUAAAAAUAAUAAAACAGUAUAAAAGGCCUCAAAAAAAAUUUUAAGUACGGUACCGGAAUUAUUAUCGAGAGAAGCAGCUCGUAGCAUUGAACUUGUGAUGUAAGCAAAGAAACAAGCGUAGUCUGAAAGU